rnacentral:misc_RNA from 1 species
GAUGAAGAACGCAGCGAAUUGCGAUAAGUAAUGUGAAUUGCAGAUUUUCAGUGAAUCAUCGAAUCUUUGAACGCACCUUGCACCCUUUGGCAUUCCGAAGGGUAUGCUCGUUUGAGUGUCAUUGUACUCUCACUCUCCCGAUCUUUGGAUCGGGAGUGGUGGACUUGGGUGUUGCUGCUUUACCGUGGCUCACCUCAAAUGGAUUCGUGCAACUCCUGGUUGGACAUAGUACGGCGUGAUAAGUGUCUUCGCCGGCACCUCACUAGAGGGUGGCUGACCGGGAGCUCUGUGCUUCAAACCGUCUUCGGACAACAACUGACAACUUGACCUCAAAUCGAGUAGGACCACCCGCUGAACUUAAGCAUAUCAAUAAGCGGAGGA